rnacentral:lncRNA from 1 species
AAACCAGUUACUUUGCAAGGUUGUCUGAAAAUGAGAACGAGUCCUGGCUUCUGGUCAACAACGGAAAGCCUGGGCACAUUUAGAGAAAUUCUUGCCUGGGCUUAAUGACGAGAGAAGAUGUGCUUCUGCUGAGCAAUUGGUAUUGACUGAAGGACAUUGCGAGGACGACCAUGUCUCCGUUUUCUUGUCGGCUGCCAGAAACCUUCAGGCUAAACCCAAGUGUCCAUUCUCUUCAUGUCUAGACCCAAGAACCUGAGGGGCCCAUAACUCAACCUCUGCCUGUGCUGGUUUCCCCGUCCAUUAAAUAAAGGCAAUAAGAG